rnacentral:rRNA from 1 species
AUUGAACGCUGGCGGCAGGCCUAACACAUGCAAGUCGAGCGGAUGACGGGAGCUUGCUCCUUGAUUCAGCGGCGGACGGGUGAGUAAUGCCUAGGAAUCUGCCUGAUAGUGGUGGACAACGUUUCGAAAGGAACGCUAAUACCGCAUACGUCCUACGGGAGAAAGCAGGGGACCUUCGGGCCUUGCGCUAUCAGAUGAGCCUAGGUCGGAUUAGCUAGUUGGUGGGGUAAUGGCUCACCAAGGCGACGAUCCGUAACUGGUCUGAGAGGAUGAUCAGUCACACUGGAACUGAGACACGGUCCAGACUCCUACGGGAGGCAGCAGUUGGGAAUAUUGGACAAUGGGCGAAAGCCUGAUCCAGCCAUGCCGCGUGUGUGAAGAAGGUCUUUGGAUUGUAAAGCACUUUAAGUUGGGAGGAAGGGCAGUAAGUUAAUACCUUGCUGUUUUGACGUUACCGACAGAAUAAGCACCGGCUAACUCUGUGCCAGCAGCCGCAGUAAGAC